rnacentral:piRNA from 1 species
UGGAAAGCAUAGUGCUAGUGGUAAUC